AACGAACGCUGGCGGCAUGCCUAACACAUGCAAGUCGAACGUGAUCCGGGGCUUGCUCCGGUGAAAGUGGCGGACGGGUGAGUAACGCGUGGGAACCUGCCCAGUGGUCGGGGAUAACUGCGGGAAACUGCAGCUAAUACCCGGUAAGCCCUCGAGCGUUGGCUUGGGGGAAAGAUUGAUCGCCAUUGGAGGGGCCCGGCGUCGGAUUAGGUAGUUGGUGGGGUAACGGCCUACCAAGCCUACCGAUCCGUAGCUGGUCUGAGAGGAUGAUCAGCCACACUGGGACUGAGAUACGGCCCAGACUCCUACGGGAGGCAGCAGUGGGGAAUAUUGGACAAUGGGCGCAAGCCUG
rnacentral:rRNA from 1 species